ACAAAUACAAGAGCCUGCUGCUACCCACAAACUGUGGGAUUUUUUUCCACUCACCAAAUGGUUUAAGCCAAAGCUAAGACACCUAUAAAACACUUGAUGCCUCUUAUAUGACAUUUGCAGCUGGAGAGAUGAAAGAUGCCAAACUGCUCUUCUGUUUUCUAUCAUAAGCAGGCACACUCCCUGAUGCUUUACAGAGCAAAGGAACAGAUGAAGGGCUCCAGAUUUUCCUAAGUAUCUUGAUUUGUUGAACUCCAUUCACUUCUUUGUGCUUUUGCUCCAAGUUCUAGGCAUUAAAUGCGACACCAUAUUCACAGACAGAUCUAUUUCUAGGAUUUUAUCAUAUACAGCUUCAUACAAUGAUAUCUUAACUCCUGCUGAGACACAGGAGUCCAUCCAUACCUUAUAGUUCCAAUCUCGAUUUGGGCCAGAAACUUGCCGCUUUGCCACUGACAUUACUUGACAACUUAAAGCAAUGCAGCUCGUAACAAAAGUCCUAAUGCAGUCUCACUCCUACAUGCUGCCCAGUGAAACAGAUUGAGUUUUUUCAGCAUUACUUUUUGCAGAGAAAUCAAAUUAUGAUUACAUGAACAAAGCUUUCAGUGGUUACUGCUAAGCCCCAAAGAGCAAAUACCAAAUAGUUCUACUUUAAAAUAAAAAAUUCAGUGCCUAAAAAGCUAUGAGGAUCUAGGUGAAAAACUUAAGCAUUAAUAAAUUUUUAAGAUCAAAACUUCAGAUCUCAACCAAAUUCUGCAAAGCAUCUGAAAAUGUGCUUGAUUUUAGUGGACACACUCACUUCAGUGGCUGCCUUUUUGUAGCUACAAAAGUACAUACCUGACCACCUUGCUGGAUGGGAUGGUAAGGAUAUGAGGGUAUUUUCUACUUGCAAAAGUAAUUUUUAAAGAUUAAAAUUGACAAAUUCAUACUUUGUUGAUUAAUUUCGGUUUACUGGGUGUUAUCAAAGACAUCACCCUUCCUCAUGGUGCUAGAUUGGUUGGGGUUUGUUUCAAGUUAAUUCUUUUCAAGUUAUUAAUUGUCAAACUCAGAAACAAGAGCCAUAGAAAAAGACUUGUCUGAGUGCUGUGUUUUCAACACUGGCAUCCAUCAGAUGUUGAAAUGAAAACACAGACCAAACGAGUUGCCCUCAGCUUGUCUUUUCUCCAAAGACCAAUGGCUUAACAACAGUCCUGUGGAGCGCAGUAGGAAAUCACUGGUGUAGGUUGUUCUUACUGUUUCCAUGUACACUUUAAAUCAUGUUGGGUGCUAUAACAAACUUUACGUAUAUCACUGUGUGCUAGCAAUGCUCAUGGCCUUCUGGAUACUCAAACACUGCCAGAGGAGCUUCUCUGCCUUGCAGCAGACCCUUCGUGGUUUGUGCCCUGGUGCUUAGACAUGUGCACGUUCUGCCACUUCGGUGCUCAAUAAAAAGUGACCAGUAUAUUUUUCAACUCUG
rnacentral:lncRNA from 1 species